AUCUGAGACUCUCAGAGAGAAAGAACCUUAUAUACCUUCAGUAAAGAGAAUGUCUGACUGAGGGGCCUGCCUCUAGUUCAGUCCUCAGAGUUGAGUGCUCUGAGAUCCAAAAAAGAAGAAACAUGGAGAAACUCCUGGGAGAGACUUUGAUGAUUUUCUGUCUUCUGCUGAUCAGGGUGAGCAGCCAACAAGAAGAAGAAAAGCUUCAGGCUCUGAGCAUCCAGGAAGGUGAAAAUACCACCAUAAACUGCAGCUACAAAACAACUAUAACCAAUUUACAAUGGUAUAGACAAGCUUCGGGCACAGGCCCUGUCCUGCUGAUUCUAAUCCGCUCAAAUGAGAGAGAGAAAUCCAGCGGAAGAGUCAGAGCCACACUCGACACCUCCAACAAAAGAAGCACCCUGUCCAUCACAGAUGCCCAACCUGCAGACACUGCUACUUACUCCUGUGCCACUGACGCACAGCACUCAAAAGGCACCUGCCACCCCUGCACAAACCCUUCUGAAGCAGCUUCUUGGAAACUCUGACAGUGCUGGAGUCUAUCUUUCAGGGACGAGAGUCUACAAAAAGCUGGAGACAUGAAAUGAGAACUUUCCCAACUUGUGAUUUGUGUUUUCAGCAUCUUGGACUAGGGAAAAAAGCACGGAAUUUGGAGUGGGAAUCUA